rnacentral:rRNA from 1 species
CAUUCACGGAGAGUUUGAUCCUGGCUCAGGACGAACGCUGGCGGCGUGCUUAACACAUGCAAGUCGAACGAUGAACCACCUUCGGGUGGGGAGUUAGUGGCGAACGGGUGAGGUAACACGUGGGCAAUC